CACGCUAAAAAUUAAUGAUCUAAAACGUUUCUCAUUAAACAAAAAUGAAUUCCAUAUUAACAAUGUUAUUGUUAUUAUGGCAGAUAAAUGCAUGUAACACCUUUUCAUGUUUUACCUGUUCUUCUUAUUACAAACUGGAUUGUCAUCAAGUCCAAUAUCUGAAACAAUGCGAUAAUAAAAAAGAACAAUGUGUUACUAUUUCGUACGAAUUCGAAAUGUACAUUGGUGUAAAUAAAACAUCCAUUGAAACAGUUUAUGCAAAAUAUUGUGGAGAUAAGUUUUUAAGUUGUCAAUCCCAUUGCCGUGCAUUGGAGAUGAAUGAUGGUAGCAAAUGCAUGGUGGGAUGUUGUGAUACGUCGGGCUGCAACAAAAAUACAAACUUAAAAUUUCAAAACAAAGGUUAUAAAAGCUCUUCGGUUGCACUUGCAAACAAAAACUUCUACACAAAUUUACCUUUUUUUAAGCUACUUCUUAUAAAUUUUUUAGUUCUUUAUGUUAUUUUGUUAGCCUCUGUAAAAAUGUAAAACAUUAUAAUUAUAUAUAAUAAUUAUAUAUAAUAAUUUUUUUUAUAUAUAUAAUUAUAUAAUAAUUUUUUCAUUUUUAUAUUUAUGAAAGAGUUUUUGAUGAUUUUCUGAUGUAAUUUGGCAACUAAUCUCC